rnacentral:rRNA from 1 species
AAAUUGAAGAGUUUGAUCAUGGCUCAGAUUGAACGCUGGCGGCAGGCCUAACACAUGCAAGUCGAGCGGUAGCACAGAGAGCUUGCUCUCGGGUGACGAGCGGCGGACGGGUGAGUAAUGUCUGGGAAACUGCCUGAUGGAGGGGGAUAACUACUGGAAACGGUAGCUAAUACCGCAUAAUGUCGCAAGACCAAAGUGGGGGACCUUCGGGCCUCAUGCCAUCAGAUGUGCCCAGAUGGGAUUAGCUAGUAGGUGGGGUAAUGGCUCACCUAGGCGACGAUCCCUAGCUGGUCUGAGAGGAUGACCAGCCACACUGGAACUGAGACACGGUCCAGACUCCUACGGGAGGCAGCAGUGGGGAAUAUUGCACAAUGGGCGCAAGCCUGAUGCAGCCAUGCCGCGUGUGUGAAGAAGGCCUUCGGGUUGUAAAGCACUUUCAGCGGGGAGGAAGGCGAUAAGGUUAAUAACCUUGUCGAUUGACGUUACCCGCAGAAGAAGCACCGGCUAACUCCGUGCCAGCAGCCGCGGUAAUACGGAGGGUGCAAGCGUUAAUCGGAAUUACUGGGCGUAAAGCGCACGCAGGCGGUCUGUCAAGUCGGAUGUGAAAUCCCCGGGCUCAACCUGGGAACUGCAUUCGAAACUGGCAGGCUAGAGUCUUGUAGAGGGGGGUAGAAUUCCAGGUGUAGCGGUGAAAUGCGUAGAGAUCUGGAGGAAUACCGGUGGCGAAGGCGGCCCCCUGGACAAAGACUGACGCUCAGGUGCGAAAGCGUGGGGAGCAAACAGGAUUAGAUACCCUGGUAGUCCACGCCGUAAACGAUGUCGAUUUGGAGGUUGUGCCCUUGAGGCGUGGCUUCCGGAGCUAACGCGUUAAAUCGACCGCCUGGGGAGUACGGCCGCAAGGUUAAAACUCAAAUGAAUUGACGGGGGCCCGCACAAGCGGUGGAGCAUGUGGUUUAAUUCGAUGCAACGCGAAGAACCUUACCUGGUCUUGACAUCCACAGAACUUUCCAGAGAUGGAUUGGUGCCUUCGGGAACUGUGAGACAGGUGCUGCAUGGCUGUCGUCAGCUCGUGUUGUGAAAUGUUGGGUUAAGUCCCGCAACGAGCGCAACCCUUAUCCUUUGUUGCCAGCGGUCCGGCCGGGAACUCAAAGGAGACUGCCAGUGAUAAACUGGAGGAAGGUGGGGAUGACGUCAAGUCAUCAUGGCCCUUACGACCAGGGCUACACACGUGCUACAAUGGCAUAUACAAAGAGAAGCGACCUCGCGAGAGCAAGCGGACCUCAUAAAGUAUGUCGUAGUCCGGAUUGGAGUCUGCAACUCGACUCCAUGAAGUCGGAAUCGCUAGUAAUCGUAGAUCAGAAUGCUACGGUGAAUACGUUCCCGGGCCUUGUACACACCGCCCGUCACACCAUGGGAGUGGGUUGCAAAAGAAGUAGGUAGCUUAACCUUCGGGAGGGCGCUUACCACUUUGUGAUUCAUGACUGGGGUGAAGUCGUAACAAGGUAACCGUAGGGGAACCUGCGGUUGGAUCACCUCCUUACCUUAAAGAA